CGGCGCAACGGGGGAGGGUCACGGGAGACUGAUCGACUAGAAGGCAGGAGAGGGUAGUGGAAUUCCCGGUGUAGUGGUGAAAUGCGUAGAUAUCGGGAGGAACACCAGUGGCGAAGGCGACUACCUGGCCUGUUCUUGACGCUGAGGCGCGAAAGCUAGGGGAGCAAACGGG
rnacentral:rRNA from 1 species